rnacentral:rRNA from 1 species
GGAUUAGAUACCCUGGUAGUCCACGCCGUAAACGAUGACAACUAGCUGUUGGGAGACAAUGUCUUUCAGUGGCGCAGCUAACGUUUUAAGUUGUCCGCCUGGGGAGUACGGACGCAAGUUUAAAACUCAAAGGAAUUGACGGGGGCCCACACAAGCGGUGGAGUAUGUGGUUUAAUUCGACGCAACGCGCAGAACCUUACCCAGUCUUGACAUGCCCUGAAAAACCUAGAGAUAGGUCUUUUUCUUCGGAAACAGGUGCACAGGUGCUGCAUGGCUGUCGUCAGCUCGUGCCG